AGAGGCUGCUGCGAUCCUAAGCAAGACAAACUUUCAGGAUAAGAAAAGUCAUCUGGAAAAGUAAAAUUAGAAGUCUAGAAUAUGUAGAAGAUUAUUGUUUGUCAGAUCCUAAUCUGGAGGGAUUUCACCAGCAACAUUGUGCUUCUUUCAGCUCCUGUCUGCACAGCUAGAAUAUAUGAAGACUGCACUGUAUUUUUCCCAGACUCUGUGGGCACACCUGAUUGUUUCACAUGGACUGUGGUUUAUCAUCAUUUCAGCAAGUACUCAGUCUGUAAGACCCAUCGCCAAUAUUUUCCCCCACACUUCUUUUUAUCAGGUAAGAUAACUGCUACGGAGCUGUUCAAAAUGAAUUUUAUGGCAUUCUUGAUGGGUACUUCACCUCAUGUGCUAUUAGAACAAUGCACAAAAUGUUUUGAAGGAACCUAAGAGGAUAUAGGAUCUUAGAGUUACAUGGCUAUUGGAAAUGGGAUGCUAGAAUUGCAUAGAUAUUGGAAAUAGCACCUGAGGGUCAUUUCACU
ensembl:lncRNA